rnacentral:tRNA from 1 species
GGGCCUGUAGCUCAGCUGGCAGAGCAUCGGACUUUUAAUCCGCGGGUCGUGGGUUCGAGCCCCACCGGGCCCA